rnacentral:rRNA from 1 species
AUUGAACGCUGGCGGCAGGCCUAACACAUGCAAGUCGAACGAGUGGCGGACGGGUGAGUAAUGUCUGGAAAACUGCCCGAUGGAGGGGGAUAACUACUGGAAACGGUAGCUAAUACCGCAUACCAUUAGAGGUGCCCCGAUGGGAUUAGCUUGUUGGUUGGGUAACGGCGCACCAAGGCGACGAUCCCUAGCUGGUUGGAGAGGAUGACUAGCCACACUGGCACUGAGAAACGGUCCAGACUCCUACGGUCGGCAGCAGUGGGGAAUUUUGGCAAAUUGGGGAAAGCCCGAUACAGCCAUGCCGCGUGUAUGAAGAAGGCCUUCGGGUUGUAAAGUACUUUCAGCAGGUAGGCGUUACCCGCAGAAGAAGCACCGGCUAACUCCGUGCCAGCAGCCGCGGUAAUUC